GAGCAGAUGAUGUUAUAAAGAUUCAAUUAACGCUGAGAUCUAUGUCUGUGAAGUCUCAAAAAUCGAGCUUUUUAAAGCUGAUGCUCC